rnacentral:rRNA from 1 species
UACGGAGGCCCCAAGCGUUGUUCGGAUUUAUUGGGCGUAAAGGGUGCGUAGGCGGCAUUGUAAGUCUGGUGUGAAAGGCGUGGGCUCAACCUGCGGACUGCAUUGGAUACUGCGAUGCUAGAGGACUGGAGAGGAGAAUGGAAUUCACGGUGGAGCAGUGAAAUGCGUAGAUAUCGUGAGGAAGGCCAGUGGCGAAGGCGAUUCUCUGGACAGUAUCUGACGCUGAGGCACGAAGGCUGGGGGAGCGAACAGG